UGGACGAGCGGCGGACGGGUGAGUAACACGUGGGCAACCUGCCUGUAAGACUGGGAUAACUCCGGGAAACCGGGGCUAAUACCGGAUAACUCAACGAACCGCAUGGUUCGGUGUUAAAAGAUGGCUUCUGCUAUUACUUACAGAUGGGCCCGCGGCGCAUUAGCUAGUUGGUGAGGUAACGGCUCACCAAGGCCACGAUGCGUAGCCGACCUGAGAGGGUGAUCGGCCACACUGGGACUGAGACACGGCCCAGACUCCUACGGGAGGCAGCAGUAGGGAAUCAUCCGCAAUGGACGAAAGUCUGACGGUGCAACGCCGCGUGAGUGAUGAAGGUUUUCGGAUCGUAAAACUCUGUUGUUAGGGAAGAACACGUGCUGUUCGAAUAGGGCAGUGCCUUGACGGUACCUAACCAGAAAGCCACGGCUAACUACGUGCCAGCAGCCGCGGUAAUACGUAGGUGGCAAGCGUUGUCCGGAAUUAUUGGGCGUAAAGCGCGCGCAGGCGGUUUCUUAAGUCUGAUGUGAAAGGCCACAGCUCAACUGUGGAGGGCCAUUGGAAACUGGGGAACUUGAGUACAGAAGAGGAGAGCGGAAUUCCACGUGUAGCGGUGAAAUGCGUAGAUAUGUGGAGGAACACCAGUGGCGAAGGCGGCUCUCUGGUCUGUGACUGACGCUGAGGCGCGAAAGCAUGGGUAGCGAACAGGAUUAGAUACCCUGGUAGUCCAUGCCGUAAACGAUGAGUGCUAGGUGUUAGGGGGUCCAACCCUUAGUGCUGCAGUUAACGCAAUAAGCACUCCGCCUGGGGAGUACGGCCGCAAGGCUGAAACUCAAAGGAAUUGACGGGGGCCCGCACAAGCGGUGGAGCAUGUGGUUUAAUUCGACGCAACGCGAAGAACCUUACCAGGUCUUGACAUCUUCGGACCACCCUAGAGAUAGGGUCUUCCCUUCGGGGACCGAAUGACAGGUGGUGCAUGGUUGUCGUCAGCUCGUGUCGUGAGAUGUUGGGUUAAGUCCCGCAACGAGCGCAACCCUUAACCUUAGUUGCCAGCAUUCAGUUGGGCACUCUAAGGUGACUGCCGGUGACAAACCGGAGGAAGGUGGGGAUGACGUCAAAUCAUCAUGCCCCUUAUGACCUGGGCUACACACGUGCUACAAUGGAUGGUACAAAGGGAAGCGAAACCGCGAGGUCAAGCCAAUCCCAUAAAGCCAUUCUCAGUUCGGAUUGUAGGCUGCAACUCGCCUGCAUGAAGCCGG
rnacentral:rRNA from 1 species